CCUACGGGUGGCUGCAGUGAGGAAUAUUGGUCAAUGGGCGCAAGCCUGAACCAGCCAAGUCGCGUGAGGGAUGACGGUCCUAUGGAUUGUAAACCUCUUUUGUCGGGGAGCAAGGCCCGCCACGUGUGGCGGGAAGGAGAGUACCCGAAGAAAAAGCAUCGGCUAACUCCGUGCCAGCAGCCGCGGUAAUACGGAGGAUGCGAGCGUUAUCCGGAUUUAUUGGGUUUAAAGGGUGCGUAGGCGGAAGGUUAAGUCAGCGGUCAAAUGUCGGUGCUCAACACCGGCCUGCCGUUGAAACUGGUCUUCUUGAGUGAGCGAGAAGUAUGCGGAAUGCGUGGUGUAGCGGUGAAAUGCAUAGAUAUCGGGAGGAACACCAGUGGCGAAGGCGGCCUGCUGGGCUCUAACUGACGCUGAGGCACGAAAGCGUGGGUAGCAAACAGGAUUAGAUACCCUUGUAGUC
rnacentral:rRNA from 1 species